GGCGCAUACUUAUUCUCUGCGCGGCGUCCGUUUCUCCAGACUUUCCACUUUUGGCAAGCUGUGUUCCCUGGCUUGUGUCCAGUCUACAAAAGGUCUUAAAACCACAGAGCAGGGCUUUAAGCGUUUAGGAUCUCGCUUUUUGCAGGCUUUUGACAAGAAGGCUCAGAUCUCCACUAACCAGUGGCCACAUUUUACCAUCAUGAUCAUUGAGUAGCUCACAACCAAACCGUUUGCUUUAUCACAGCAAGAAGAGUGAGGAGAGCCAAAAAUGUCACAGAAGAAAGACAACCUCAGAACAACCACCCUCAGCCUCCCAAGUCGAGGACACUGGGUCGACGACUCUUCACAACUUCUUCAGGCUGAAUAUGGAUGUUGAGAUAUCUUGAAGGGGGCUAGGGAAAAUGGCCUUAAGAAGGCCACCCAACAAUUGGUGCAGUCUCUGAUGUUUGUUCUGACUAGAUCUGGCCAAAAGUCCCUGAGAUCAGGAGUUCAAGCAGGUCAGUUCAGCACGUCUGACUAUGAGACUCACUAAAGUUGUACAUGUUGUAAUAUAUAAUUCUCAAAACAAAAGUUUAGUACCGUCAAGAUAUCUGUGUGGAUUGUAUCAGUCUGUAGGGUGUACAGACUGGUUAGGAUGAAAUUCUGUUUCUUUUUUGUUUUAUUCUUGAAUCUAGUUCUUCCAGGAGUCUCCCUCUAUCAAAUCUGAUCUAUAUAGCUCUGGAAUGUGUCCAGAGCCUAAUGGGAAUUUGGAAAUGGUCAUAAUUUAACAGGAAGAAAUUAGCCAAAAUUGAUUGUGCAGCCAUAAUCUCAUUUGGUAGAAAUCCUUAUAUUUGUUACUAAAUUAAAAUUAUAAUCUCUUACGUUGGUACAGAAUUUAUUUGAUACAAAUUUAAGGUUUUCAUUUAUAUGAAUUUCGUAUUGAUACAAAAUUGAGAUUGAUAUUGUUACUUCAUAUAGGUAUUGUGCAUAUACAACACAUUUAAGAAUACAAGGCUUAGACCCAGUUCUGUAACUGCUAUUAUAAACUGAUCUGAGAUGAUUAAGCAUGUGAGUUAAGGGCCAGAUAACAAAUUUAGGUCCCUGAGAUUACUGUUAGGGCAACUGAUAAUCUCUACCAAGUUAGAAUAAUUGGUCCUUCAAAA